UGGGUUGUGGCUCAGUGGUAAAGCGCUUGCCUAGCAUGUGUGAGGCACUGGGUUUGAUUCUCAGCACCACAU
rnacentral:tRNA from 1 species